rnacentral:rRNA from 1 species
GAUUCGGGGUGCACCAGGCGCGAAAACUUUACAAUGCUGGCAACAGCGAUAAGGGGACCUCGAGUGCCAGGAUACAAUCUUGGCUGUCGUGAUGCCUAAAAAGCAUUGCAUAGCAAGGGCCGGGCAAGACCGGUGCCAGCCGCCGCGGUAACACCGGCGGCUCGAGUGGUAACCGCUAUUAUUGGGUCUAAAGGGUCUGUAGCCGGCCGGAUAAGUCUUUUGGGAAAUCCAGCUGCUCAACAGUUGGGCUUUCAGAAGAUACUGUUCGGCUCGAGGCCGGGAGAGGUGAGAGGUACUUCAGGGGUAGGGGUGAAAUCUUGUAAUCCUUGAAGGACCACCAGUGGCGAAGGCGUCUCACCAGAACGGUCCUGACGGCAAGGGACGAAAGCUAGGGGCACGAACCGGAUUAGAUACCCGGGUAGUCCUAGCCGUAAACGAUACUCGCUAGGUGUCAGCCACGGUGCGACCGUGGUUGGUGCCGUAGGGAAGCCGUGAAGCGAGCCACCUGGGAAGUACGGCCGCAAGGCUGAAACUUAAAGGAAUUGGCGGGGGAGCACAAUCACUAGUGAAU